CCUACGGGAGGCAGCAGUGGGGAAUAUUGCACAAUGGGCGCAAGCCUGAUGCAGCCAUGCCGCGUGUGUGAAGAAGGCCUUCGGGUUGUAAAGCACUUUCAGCGGGGAGGAAGGCGUUAAGGUUAAUAACCUUGGCGAUUGACGUUACCCGCAGAAGAAGCACCGGCUAACUCCGUGCCAGCAGCCGCGGUAAUACGGAGGGUGCAAGCGUUAAUCGGAAUUACUGGGCGUAAAGCGCACGCAGGCGGUCUGUCAAGUCGGAUGUGAAAUCCCCGGGCUCAACCUGGGAACUGCAUUCGAAACUGGCAGGCUAGGGUCUUGUAGAGGGGGGUAGAAUUCCAGGUGUAGCGGUGAAAUGCGUAGAGAUCUGGAGGAAUACCGGUGGCGAAGGCGGCCCCCUGGACAAAGACUGACGCUCAGGUGCGAAAGCGUGGGGAGCAAACAGGAUUAGAUACCCGAGUAGUC
rnacentral:rRNA from 1 species